GUCCCCAUAGCUAAAUGGAUAAAGCGUGGGCCUCCGAAGCCCAAGAUCGAGGUUCGAUUCCUCGUGGGGACG
rnacentral:tRNA from 1 species